CAGAGCUAAUAGAAGAAUAGCAGAGAACUGACACCACCUCUCAACUUGGCUAUAUUACAAAUCAGUCACAAGUGCAACAUGCAGCUCAAAACCACACAGUUGAUUUAUAGUUAUGCAAGCAAGCACUUCAGCUAAUUGUAAUGAUACCCAAAUUACCAAGUAUUCUUUUGCAGAUCAACCCACUAGGAAAGGUCCUGUGUUCUGACUGGGAGGAAAUAAUUGUUAACUGCACAGAACAAAACAGCUUUUCCAUUCCAACUGUUCUAAUUAGAAGUGAUCAGGUGCAUAGGCAUGGAGCCCUCAGCAUAUAAAAAACCAUAUGAGGGAUAUUUGCUUAGUGGUUCAAGGCAUUUGUGUCCCAUCCUGAGGCAGAAGUCCUGCAGUUGCCG